ensembl:lncRNA
UGUAAAUGUCUUAUAAAUCGCAUUCAUUUUCUCCUACACAGUUUAUAACAUAUAUAACAUUUUAUAUUUAUAUGUUAAGACAUUAUAAUUCUACAGUGUCACUUUGUCUGUUCCGCUUUUAUUUUGAAAAGCGCCGUUUUUCUUCGGAUGGUUUUUUUUGUGACGCUAGACUUCCGCUACUCUCUCUUCACAAUGUGGUGUUCACGUAUCGUCGGAAGAACGAGCUCUGAACUGUGAGGGUGUGUCGAGCUAGAGAGCAUGGUAGCUGAUGGCAGAAACUCUUUGAUUAGCGCCCUUGGAGAAGCGGAAUGAGGUAUGAAGGAAACUGGGUGGAGUUUGUAUUAUUAUCAGAAGGGAUAUUGUUUAUGGAAAAGAGAAUGUCAACACUUAAUUUGUUUAUGGGUUUAUUGCACAUGUCAUCAAUAUAAAAACAUUAUUUCUGUAAACAAUUAUAAUAUAUUGUUUCAUUUAAAAGAAGCAUGUGAUAUUUCAUUUGUCAGGAAGGCUUAAAAACACAUUUCAUAUUUCAUAUUGGUCAUUUGUUAAAAUGAUUUGUAUUAAUAUGUGAACAUGAUUAAUGUGCAAAUUAUUUGUGAAACUACAUAGAAGCAUUUUGUAUUUCUUCUGUUUAUUCUGUAGUUUUCACGGUGUUCAUGGUGCAUGGUGCUCGUUGAGAGGAAGAAAUAAAUUGACACCCGUUUGAAACUCUCUGCGUCUUGAUCAAUAUAUCCGAGGGGCUGCUACAGUGAAAACUCAUCGCUGCACCAGCCCUGCCAUCCCUGGUGAGAAGCUGAUGCCAUCACAUCUGAAGUCCAACCACCAACCUAAUACCGGCCAGUUUACUUCGCUUGCAUCCAACUCCUGCACACAGGCAAGACUUAAAAUGGACAGCAUGCUUAAGGUACAGCUAGAGCUGCAAAAAGAGACACUGGGUGCCAAGGAGCAAAAAAGCUGAAAAGGGACAAUCUUU